UACGGGGGGGGCAAGCGUUGUUCGGAUUCACUGGGCGUAAAGGGUGCGUAGGUGGUGAGGUAAGUCGGAUGUGAAAUCUCCAGGCUCAACCUGGAAAUGGCAUUGGAAACUACCUUGCUAGAGGGUUUGAGGGGGGACUGGAAUACUUGGUGUAGCAGUGAAAUGCGUAGAUAUCAAGUGGAACACCAGUGGCGAAGGCGAGUCCCUGGAAAAUACCUGACACUGAGGCACGAAAGCUAGGGGAGCAAACAGG
rnacentral:rRNA from 1 species